GUUAGGAAUCUUCCACAAUGGGGGCAACCCUGAUGGAGCAACACCGCGUGCUGGAUGAAGGCCUUCGGGUCGUAAACAGCUUUUGUAUACGAAGAAUAUGACGGUAAUAUACGAAUAAGGGUCGGCUAACUACGUGCCAGCAGCCGCGGUCAUACGUAGGACCCAAGCGUUAUCCGGAGUGACUGGGCGUAAAGAGUUGCGUAGGCGGCUUAUUAAGCGAGUAGUGACAUCUGGUGGCUCAACCAUCAACACAUUGCUCGAACUGAUAGGCUUGAGAAUGGUAGAGUUAGUUGGAAUUUCUUGUGUAGGAGUGAAAUCCGUAGAUAUAAGAAGGAACACCAAUGGCGUAGGCAGACUACUGGACCAUUUCUGACGCUGAGGCACGAAAGCGUGGGGAGCGAACCGGAUUAGAAACCCUUGUAGUCC
rnacentral:rRNA from 1 species